UACGUAGGGUGCAAGCGUUGUUCGGAAUCAUUGGGCGUAAAGCGCGUGUAGGUGGCUUACCAAGUCAGCUGUGAAAGCCCUCGGCUCAACCGGGGAAGUGCAGUUGAAACUGGUAGGCUAGAGAACGGUAGAGGAAGGUGGAAUUCCAAGUGUAGAGGUGAAAUGCAUAGAUAUGUCACAGAACACCAAUUGCGAAGGCAGCUUACUAUGGUAUGAUUGACGCUGAGGCACGAAAGCGUGGGGAUCAAACAGG
rnacentral:rRNA from 1 species